rnacentral:rRNA from 1 species
GACGGAGGAUGCAAGCGUUAUCCGGAAUUAUUGGGCGUAAAGCGUCUGCAGGUGGCAGUUCAAGUCUGCUGUCAAAGACCGGGGCUUAACUUCGGAAAGGCAGUGGAAACUGAACAGCUAGAGUAUGGUAGGGGCAGAGGGAAUUCCUGGUGUAGCGGUGAAAUGCGUAGAGAUCAGGAAGAACAUCGGUGGCGAAGGCGCUCUGCUGGACCAUAACUGACACUCAGGGACGAAAGCUAGGGGAGCGAAUGGG